rnacentral:tRNA from 1 species
UUCAGGGUAGCCUAGUGGACAUGGCAUCUGCCCAGUAAGCCGAACACUGUGGGUUCGAUUCAUAUCCCUGGAC